CGCGGCCUAUCAGCUUGUUGGUGAGGUAAUGGCUCACCAAGGCGACGACGGGUAGCCGGCCUGAGAGGGCGACCGGCCACACUGGGACUGAGACACGGCCCAGACUCCUACGGGAGGCAGCAGUGGGGAAUAUUGCACAAUGGGCGCAAGCCUGAUGCAGCGACGCCGCGUGAGGGAUGAAGGCCCUAGGGUUGUAAACCUCUUUCAGCAGGGACGAAGCGAAAGUGACGGUACCUGCAGAAGAAGCCCCGGCUAACGACGUGCCAGCAGCCGCGGUAAUACGUAGGGGGCGAGCGUUGUCCGGAUUUAUUGGGCGUAAAGGGCUCCUAGGCGGUUCAGUAAGGCGACUGUGAAAAUCCAAGGCUCAACCUUGGGACGCCAGUCGAUACUGCUGUGACUCGAGUUCGGUAGAGGAGUGUGGAAUUCCUGGUGUAGCGGUGGAAUGCGCAGAUAUCAGGAGGAACACCAAUGGCGAAGGCAGGUCUCUGGGCCACAACUGACGCUGAGGAGCGAAAGCAUGGGGAGCGAACAGGAUUAGAUACCCUGGUAGUCCAUGCCGUAAACGGUGGGCACUAGAUGUGGGGCUCUUUCCAUGAGUUCCGCGUCGCAGCUAACGCAUUAAGUGCCCCGCCUGGGGAGUACGG
rnacentral:rRNA from 1 species